rnacentral:lncRNA from 1 species
CCCAUGACAUACCUCACUCACAUUCUACUGAAUAUCAAUGAUUUUUUAAAAAUUAUUUGAUAAAAUUCGAAACUUUAAGUUAAACGGUACUUAAUUCUAAAUUCUUUCUUUACUCAAGGACGAGCAAAGUUCAAGUUGGAAAAUUUUUAUAUCAAUUUUUAUUGAUCCUAUCAAGAUGCUAUCGUUAGGACACCGUAAUUAUCAAUCAAAUUCCGACUUCAAUAAAAAUUAAAAAAUACGUAGAAAGUAGUGAGUC